UACGGAGGGUGCGAGCGUUAAUCGGAAUCACUGGGCGUAAAGCGCACGUAGGCGGUGUCGUAAGUCGGACGUGAAAUCCCUCGGCUCAACCGGGGAACUGCGUUCGAUACUGCGAUGCUUGAGUGCCGGAGAGGGUGGCGGAAUUCCAGGUGUAGGAGUGAAAUCCGUAGAUAUCUGGAGGAACACCAGUGGCGAAGGCGGCCACCUGGCCGGCAACUGACGCUGAGGUGCGAAAGCGUGGGGAUCAAACAGG
rnacentral:rRNA from 1 species